AACGAACGCUGGCGGCAUGCCUAACACAUGCAAGUCGAACGAGACCUUCGGGUCUAGUGGCGCACGGGUGCGUAACGCGUGGGAACCUUCCCUUAGGUUCGGAAUAACUCUCCGAAAGGGGUGCUAAUACCGGAUAAUGUCUUCGGACCAAAGAUUUAUCGCCCUUGGAUGGGCCCGCGUUGGAUUAGCUAGUUGGUAUGGUAAAAGCCUACCAAGGCGACGAUCCAUAGCUGGUCUGAGAGGAUGAUCAGCCACACUGAGACUGAGAAACGGCCCAGACUCCUACGGAAGGCAGCAGUGGGGAAUAUUGGAAAAUGGGGGAAAGCCUGAUCCAGCAAUGCCGCGUGAGUGAUGAAGGCCUUAGGGUUGUAAAGCUCUUUUACCCGGGAUGAUAAUGACAGUACCGGAAGAAUAAGCUCCGGCUAACUCCGUG
rnacentral:rRNA from 1 species